rnacentral:rRNA from 1 species
CACGUAGGGAGCAAGCGUUAUCCGGAGUUACUGGGCGUAAAGGGCGUGUAGGCGGUAUGUUAAGUCUGGCGUGAAAGCUCUCGGCUAAACCGGGAGAGGUCGUUGGAUACUGGCAAACUAGAGGAUGGUAGAGGCGUGUGGAAUUCCGGGUGUAGUGGUGAAAUGCGUAGAGAUCCGGAGGAACACCAGUGGCGAAGGCGACACGCUGGGCCAUACCUGACGCUAAAGCGCGACAGCAUGGGGAGCAAACGGG